UUUAAAGCCUGGGGUGCUGAAGUCUGUUUUCCCACAGAGCAGGUACAGCAUGGGCAAACAGCAGCAUGCAUUCUUCCACAGAGUGCAGUGCCAGUGUGCUAUAAAUGACAGUAAGGUACCUCCAGGGAUCAAAAGGUAGUUCAGAUUUCAUGGCCUCUUUAAACCUUUGGCCAAC
rnacentral:sRNA from 1 species